rnacentral:rRNA from 1 species
AGAGUUUGAUCAUGGCUCAGGAUAAACGCUGGCGGCGUGCCUAAUGCAUGCAAGUCGAACGGAUAGUUUCGCAAGAAGCUAUUAGUGGCAAACGGGUGAGUAACACGUGGGGAUCUGCCCAGUAGUGGGGAACAACUCCUCGAAAGAGGAGCUAAUACCGCAUACGGUACUUGUGGAGACGCAAGCUACUAAAGCCUUUCGGGGUGCUAUUGGAGGAACCUGCGGCUGAUUAGCUAGUUGGUGGGGUAAAGGCCUACCAAGGCGAUGAUCAGUAGCUGGUCUGAGAGGAUGGACAGCCACACUGGGACUGAGAUACGGCCCAGACUCCUACGGGAGGCAGCAGCAAGGAAUUUUCGUCAAUGGGGGAAACCCUGAACGAGCAACGCCGCGUGGGCGAAGAAGUCCUUCGGGAUGUAAAGCCCUUUUCCCUGUGAAGAAAGAAAGACGGUAACAGGGGAAUAAGCAUCGGCUAACUACGUGCCAGCAGCCGCGGUAAUAC